UCCUGGAUAGCUCAAAGGUUAGAGCAUUCGCUCAAAAAGCGAAAGACCCGGGUUCGAAUCCCGGUCCAGUAC
rnacentral:tRNA from 1 species